UACGAAGGUGGCAAGCGUUGUUCGGAUUCACUGGGCAUAAAGGGCGCGUAGGCUGUCCUGAAAGCGGUGUGUGAAAUCCCGGAGCUCAACUCCGGAACGGCACGCCGAACUUCAGGACUAGAGGACAGGAGGGGAGUGUGGAACUCUAGGUGGAGCGGUGAAAUGCGUAGAUAUCUAGAGGAACGCCGGUGGCGAAAGCGACACUCUGGCCUGCCCCUGACGCUGAGGCGCGAAAGCGUGGGUAGCAAACAGG
rnacentral:misc_RNA from 1 species